AUGAUGGGAGGUGGGUCCAGGGUGAGAAUCCAGUGGGUAAAGGGAAAAGUGGUGUAAGGGAGGAGUAAUACAGGGCAGGGGCCGAUAAGGUAGGAUGGGUGGAACAGUGCAGUGAACAUAAACCAGUGGGGGGGGCGGGGGGGUACAGGGAUACAAGAACUUUCCAGAGCUGGGAGGAGACAAGGGAUGACAUAACUGGGAAUAGAGGCAACCAAUGGGAAAUGAGGGUUAUAAAGCUUUACCUUAAAGCUUUGCCAUAAAGAAUUUUUAAAACCUUUGACAACCUUCUUAGGAGCUAUUCUAAACUUAAACAAAUGCCCUCCAAGGUCUGGGGCCAUGGGCCAACUCCUCACCCAAAACACUGGUCUGGCUUGGCAUGUCAGUCAGUCCGAUUCCUACACUGGGCCUCUGCAUGAUAUUCGCCCAGAAGCUGCCUUUCAAGGACUGAAGUGGAACAAAAAGUAUAAAAGAAAUGUCAUUCCCAGAGGGAAAACAGUUUCAUUUCUCUUGUGUCUACUUUUUUUUUUUUUUUUAACAGUUACCUCAAAAUUCCCGGAUCCAGAACAGCUACUCUGAGUUUUGGUAGAGAUUCCAAAGCGGGAUACAGUAGAUUUCAAAGUACACCUUGGAAAAUCAAUCGUUUGUCUGCAGCAUGCAGCAUGUAGGUGUGAUGUCUGUAACUGGUCUUAGUUGAUGCAGAGGUACUUGGAAAAAAACGUUUAAUCUUUCAUCUCUCCCCACCUGCAUUCUUCCUAAGUGUACUUUUUAUUCAGCAGGACUCGGAUGAGAGAGAGAGAGAGAGAGAGAGAGAGGGAGGAACUCUCUUCACAUCAGCGUCAAAGGAAAAAGUGUUCAGCGACUUACAGUCCUAGUGACUGUUCUGUGUAAAAGCAGGAUUGUUUUGCCAUCAGACCUUGCGUGCCGUACCAGUCUGUGCGUUAACAGGUGCCUAAGAAAGGUCAAAAGGGAAUAACUCCAUGUCGUUCACUCGUGUGAAUCUUGGUGGGGAGCAGAGGCGAGAGUGAACUGCAGUGAGGGGGAGGUUACUGAAGCCCCAGUUUGUUUCCAGCGAGCGUGGUGUUGUGGUGUUCAAAGCUACAGGUGCCUGCUGGCCUGGAGCUGGAUACUUCUGCCUCUGCUUUCUUUGGGGGUUGAUGAUUCCUUAUGUUUAUGUUGGUGUGCCAGCAUCUUAGAUACUGACGACUCUUUCUCCUCUCAGUGUCUUCUCCCAUGUGCUUAUUUAGCUGCUUAGCUAAAGGAUUUGUCUAAUGGUAGUUAAGGAAUUCAGGUGCAGACUCCAACAGGACAGUCGUAGCUGCAGAUGAAUCUCUUUAAUGCUAUCAUCGAACCCCAGCAUGGUUAUUGCUCCCAGUUUUCCUUGUGGAAAUGUGAAACAGGAAUUCAUGGGUUCUUCCUGCAUGACUGAAGGGCAGCGUCUUAGCCCAGGUCUCGGGGGCUGUGUGGAGGUUGCUCCCUGGAGCAGGGUCCCCCCGUGAGGAGGAGCCAGAGAUUGGGUCACUGGAGCAGUCUCUGGGGUUUGCCACCCUCGGUGCCACGGGACCGAGCUGUGCGAAGGCUCGAUCCCGUCGGUCCAAAGUCCUGGGCAGCGUUUCCAGCAGCAGGGGCUGGAGGCAUCGGGGGCUGCCUUUGGAGCCUUGUUCUCCCCUUGGCUUUUACAGAGGGUGCCAGACUCUGCCCUUAAGGAUCCAGUGUUGCUUUUGGACGUUGAUCCUGCAGCUGGACAGGCGGUGCAGUGAGGAGCAAGUUGCUGGCUUACGUGAUUUCUGAGUGACCUGUCACAGAAACGGGCAUCUGUGUGUGCAGGUGCUUCCUGGCAAAUCCAGAUGUGACGUGGAAAUCCUAAGGGAGGAGUUCCAGCCUUGACCACGCGUGACACAGGCUUGUGGAAAUGGAAAUGGCCUUGGCAGAAGAGCAGCUGUGAGGUGAAGCAGGACUGCAAUACAGGUGCUGCCCAGGGGGGACAUCUGUGGCCUCAGACAGCGAUGGCCUUGGAGCAAGGGGAGCCUUUGCACAGCUCACCUGCAGAGCUCAGGUGGAUGGGACAGGAUUGGUGUGGCCUGAGAAGUCCUGAACAGCUGUGUCUGUGUUCUGCAGUGCCUUGAAACCUUCCUCUGUCAGGUUUUGGAGGGGUUUCUCUUUAGGAUUUCUUGUGAUGCAGCACCCCGGGUGUCCCUUUGUGCAAAGUCCAGUGGUGAAGGAGGAUUGAGUGAGUGACAAGUGGGGUCUGGCAUGAAAAUGGUUCUGUUAAAAUGGAGCAAAGACUGCAAUAAGAAAAAUGAGCAUUCAUUUUAAUGUCUGAAAGGGUUAGGAAUAAAAAUGCUGGAGAGGGGCACUUUUAUAUUUGAAUUGGUGUCACCUGUCUUGGAUCAAGCCCCACAGUGAGCAAUCCAGAUCAGAAGUGUGUAAGCUGGGAUCCUUUGACUUCUGCAGGGGACUUCAUUUUCUUUUCUUCUUCUUCUCUUCCAGGACCGGAGAAAUGGUUGUGGAAUUAUUAGAUGGCUUUUGUUAGAUGCAGGUUUUAUUUUUUCGGAAGUUUUUUUACUGCAGCCCUUUUAAGAUGGUUUUCAAUAAUACAGUGUAUAGUUUUAUAUUGUUUGUAGGUGGCAUAUGAUGAGAGAUGUUGUCUAGUUAAUGCUGUAUCUUUUAGUUUAGGUGUUGAUAAGGUUUUUCUUGAGUUGAGUUUUGUUUUUGUGUGGUUUUUUUUUUUUUUGUGGGGUCUUGUUUCUAAAGGAUGCGUUGCUAAGGUUUCUGAUGGUGUUAGGGGCUGUAGCGUAAAGCAUAGGGCUGGUUUUCAGUUAUUUUGUGAUGGCUUUUAUUAUUGUGAGUAUUCAGUGUUUGUUUUGGGGGUUUGAGGUAAUGUCAUGUAGCUGAUUUAUUUGUUUUUUACUCUUAUAAUUGGGAUAUUAUAUGGGUUAUGUUAUUUAUAUUGGCUUGUUAUUAUAUCAAAGGGGUUUUAUGUGUUUGGUUUGUUUGAUUAGUAGUGUAUGUUUUAUUAGUUUUAUUAUUAUAUCAUUGGGCUUUUGUUUAUUAGCAGUAUAUGUUUUAUACUUGCAGAUAAUACGGGAGAUAUUGUUUAUGGUUAUAUUUAUCUUUUGGUUUUGUGUUUAUCUGUAGGUGGUAUUUGUGUAUUGAUGGUUUGAGACAUAAUGGGUUGAUUGAGCUUGGAGUUAACUUCUUUUGGCGUAGUUAAUUUAGGUUUAUUUGUGCAAUUUUUAUUUUUGGGUUUGAUUGGUUUGUUUGUUGUUUUGGUGUUUUUUAUUAUUUUUAUUUUUUGGGAACAUGGAUAUUUAUAGAGUGGAUUAUUUUAGGUAGGUUUUUUUUUUACUGUAGUGGUUAUUUUUUUUUUUUUAAUAUUUUAGUGCUUUUAGGUUCUUGUAAUGUUGUCAAUUAGUUUGGGUUUUUAUAUUUCUUUGUUUUUUGGAAUGUUUAGGGUCAGUUGCCUUGUUCUGAGUUAAAUAAGAUGGUUUGAUUUAUUUUUUGUAGUAGUUCUUGUGAUUUGUUAUGAGGGUUUCUAUACAGUUUUUUAUUUCUGUUUCAUAUUUAGGAUGUGAUGGGAAUUGUUAGUGACAAGAGUGUAGUGUGUUUCUUUUUUUAUUGCUGGUAGUGGGUUGUAUGGUGUAGGUUUUGUAUUUUGCAGAGUAUUUUUUGCUUUUAUUUAGUGAGAUCCAAGUUUUUGGUUUUAGGUUCAUUUGUAAUUAUUUUCACCUCUUUGGGGAUUUAGAUUUUUGGUGUGAGUGCCCUGCCUGAUGACAGUAAUUGGUUGAUUUCAUGUGGUAUUGGUGGCAUGGUGGGUAGAGGGCAUUUUUGUUUUGACUAUUAAUUUUAAUAUUGGUAGAUGGGAUAGUAGGAGGAUUUGUGUUUUAGUGUUGAUUGGUUUUGAGGUGGUUUGGAUUUUUUGAUAACUUAAGGUGUUUUGUGAGCUGGUGGAUGUUUUAUGCUCUUGGUAGGAACACGGUGCUGUUUUCUCGAGUGUAUCCUUAGGAAGUGGAUUUUUUCAUUAGGUUUUUUGUUUGUUUUUCACGGUAAAAUGUGUUUUUAGGAGAACUUGGGUAACUUUAAAUAUAUUUUUGUUGAAGUUUUUUGUGUACUGUAGAGGAUGUGGAGUUUUCUUUUAGUGUAAUUUGUAUAUAAUCUGUGGUAGCCAGUAGGAUUGUGUUUUUAGUUUUGGGGUAGUUGUUUUUAGGUGUAUUGUACGUUUGUUUGGUGAAGGUAAAUUGAGGUUUGUGUUGGGCUGUUGGAGGAACAGAGAAAAAUGCUUUGGCCAUGUUAAUACGAGUGUGCAAUUCAGUUUGGAUUUUAGUUUGUAUUGGAGUUUUAAUACAUUUGGUUCUGUGUUGUGUAAUGGUGGAGUUCUUUAAGGAAUGAUAGCUGGUAGUAGUUUAUUUUCUGUAUGUUGGUGUAUAGGUUGAAUGGGGUUGUUGAAGGGCGUGUGGGUUUUGUUGCUUAGUUUUGGGUUUUGAGUUACGGAGUAUUUUGUGGAUGGGACAAGUAUCUUGAGUUGGGUGCUGUUGGUAGUGUCUUGUUGAGGGGGUAAUUGGUAUUUGUUAGGGUUUUUUAAAGUAGCUUUAUUACAGUUGUUUGGUAGUUGAGCUAAGGUGUUGAUUUGUUUUCUCUUGGUUUGGCAGUAGAUAUAUAAAAUGCUUAUUUGAGUUUUGAGGGCUUCUGGAACAUUUGUACUGGAAGAGAUUUAGAGUGUUUAGAAUGCUUCACUUUUUGGGUUUGUUAUAAUGGGAUUUAAAUACUUCUCUAGCUACUUUGUUAGGUUUUAUUACAGUUAAAUAUUGUGCUUCCUUGAUUUAGAUAUUAACAGAUAUGGGAUUAGUUUUUCUAUGUCGUGAUGGCUUUAGUGUGUGCUGUGUAUGAGUGUUGACAAAGGUUUUAUUGUUUCGGGUGUCCCUUUGUGCAAAGUCCAGUGGUGAAGGAGGAUUGAGUGAGUGACAAGUGGGGCCUGGCAUGAAAAUGGUUCUGUUAAAAUGGAGCAAAGACUGCAAUAAGAAAAAUGAGCAUUCAUUUUAAUGUCUGAAAGGGUUAGGAACAAAAAUGCUGGAGAGGGGCACUUUUAUAUUUGAAUUGGUGUCACCUGUCUUGGAUCAAGCCCCACAGCGAGCAGUCCAGAUCAGAAGUGUGAAAGCUGGGAUCCUUUGACUUCUGCAGGGGACUUCAUUUUCUUUUCCUCUUCUUCUCUUCCAGGACCAGAGAAAUGGUUCCACUCCUCCCAUCUUUGCCAAAAGCUGUGCUGUUUGAGGAGCCAGAGCCAAGAGGCUUCAGCACCAGGGCUCUGCACUGGAGGGCUCCCGGUCCUGCCCCCGCAGGGUUCCCCUUUUCCUCCCCGCUGGGAUGAAGCGUCUAUGGAAUCUGGGAUCUGGGUGAAACUGCAGCUCUGCUGGUAUCCAGGGACGUGAGGUUCCGGGGGACUGCGUUUCCCUGUGGCUUUCCAGGUCGGCAGCAGCCGGAGGAAAUGGGGUGCCAGAGCCGUGCCCCAUCAGGCCGUGUUUGCCUCUG